rnacentral:rRNA from 1 species
UGGGGAAUAUUGCGCAAUGGGCGAAAGCCUGACGCAGCGACGCCGCGUGGGGGAGGAAGGCCUCAGGGUCGUAAACCCCUGUCAGGUGGGACGAACCACGGAUCGGUCAAUACCCGGUCCGCCUGACGGUACCACCAGAGGAAGCUCCGGCUAACUCCGUGCCAGCAGCCGCGGUAAUACGGAGGGAGCUAGCGUUGUUCGGAAUCACUGGGCGUAAAGGGCGCGUAGGCGGUCGGGUAAGUCGGGUGUGAAAUUCCGGGGCUCAACCCCGCGAACUGCAUCCGAUACUGCUCGACUAGAGAGAGGUAGGGGCGAGUAGAAUUCCCGGUGUAGCGGUGGAAUGCGUAGAUAUCGGGAAGAACACCGGUGGCGAAGGCGGCUCGCUGGGCCUUAUCUGACGCUGAAGCGCGAAAGCGUGGGGAGCAAACAGG